rfam:Gossypium hirsutum cultivar TM-1 chromosome 3, whole genome shotgun sequence
AUGUCAUGAUGAAGACAUUUUUGCAACAGCUUCUUGAAUCUCUCCCAUGCAUCAUAGAGAGAUUCUUUCUUGAGUUGCUGAAACGUUACGAUUUCAUUUUUGAGCUU